AGCGAACGCUGGCGGCAGGCCUAACACAUGCAAGUCGAACGAACCUUUCGGGGUUAGUGGCGGACGGGUGAGUAACACGUGGGAACGUGCCUUUAGGUUCGGAAUAACUCAGGGAAACUUGUGCUAAUACCGAAUGUGCCCUUCGGGGGAAAGAUUAAUCGCCUUUAGAGCGGCCCGCGUCUGAUUAGCUAGUUGGUUGAGGUAAUGGCUCACCAAGGCGACGAUCAGUAGCUGGUCUGAGAGGAUGAUCAGCCACAUUGGGACUGAGACACGGCCCAAACUCCUACGGGAGGCAGCAGUGGGGAAUCUUGCGAAAUGGGCGAAAGCCUGACGCAGCCAUGCCGCGUGAAUGAUGAAGGUCUUAGGAUUGUAAAAUUCUUUCAACGGGGACGAUAAUGACGGUACCCGGAGAAGAAGCCCCGGCUAACUUCGUG
rnacentral:rRNA from 1 species